rnacentral:rRNA from 1 species
GACGAACGCUGGCGGCGUGCUUAACACAUGCAAGUCGAACGGAAAGGCCCUGCUUUUGUGGGGUGCUCGAGUGGCGAACGGGUGAGUAACACGUGAGUAACCUGCCCUUGACUUUGGGAUAACUUCAGGAAACUGGGGCUAAUACCGGAUAGGAGCUCCUGCUGCUUGGUGGGGGUUGGAAAGUUUCGGCGGUUGGGGAUGGACUCGCGGCUUACCAGCUUGUUGGUGGGGUAGUGGCUUACCAAGGCUUUGACGGGUAGCCGGCCUGAGAGGGUGACCGGCCACAUUGGGACUGAGAUACGGCCCAGACUCCUACGGGAGGCAGCAGUGGGGAAUAUUGCACAAUGGGCGGAAGCCUGAUGCAGCAACGCCGCGUGCGGGAUGACGGCCUUCGGGUUGUAAACCGCUUUCGCCUGUGACGAAGCGUGAGUGACGGUAAUGGGUAAAGAAGCACCGGCUAACUACGUG